rnacentral:siRNA from 1 species
CGGAUCGCAUGGCCUCUGU